rnacentral:rRNA from 1 species
AGACGUAGGGUGCGAGCGUUGUCCGGAGUUACUGGGCGUAAAGGGCGCGUAGGCGGCUACUCGCGUCGCACGUGAAAGCCCCCGGCUCAACCGGGGAGGGUCGUGCGAUACGGGGUGGCUGGAGGCAGGGAGAGGCUGGUGGAAUUCCCGGAGUAGUGGUGAAAUGCGUAGAGAUCGGGAGGAACACCGGUGGCGAAGGCGGCCAGCUGGCCCUGACCUGACGCUGAGGCGCGAAGGCGUGGGGAGCGAACGGGAUUAGAUACCCCGGUAGUCCACGCAGUAAACGAUGUGGACUAGGUGUGGGAGGUGUUGACCCCUUCCGUGCCGGCGCUAACGCAGUAAGUCCACCGCCUGGGGAGUACGGCCGCAAGGCUAAA